ensembl:snRNA U6 U6 spliceosomal RNA
GUGCUUGCUUUGGCAGCACAAAUACUAAGUUGGAAUGAUACAAAGAAAAUUAGCAUGGCCCAUGCACAAGGAUAACAUACACGUUUGCAAUAAGUUUAUAUUUUAA